UACGAAGGGGGCUAGCGUUGUUCGGAAUCACUGGGCGUAAAGCGCACGUAGGCGGAUUGUUAAGUCAGAGGUGAAAUCCCGGAGCUCAACUUCGGAACUGCCUUUGAUACUGGCAAUCUCGAGUCUGGAAGAGGUUAGUGGAACUGCGAGUGUAGAGGUGAAAUUCGUAGAUAUUCGCAAGAACACCAGUGGCGAAGGCGGCUAACUGGUCCAGUACUGACGCUGAGGUGCGAAAGCGUGGGGAGCAAACAGG
rnacentral:rRNA from 1 species